AUUGACACGAUUGCGCUUGACCUCAAUAGUUUUCUGGUGUUUUUACUAGUGUUGAUUUUGACUUUGACUUUGAAUUACGUCGACGAAUAUAGACGAUUCUAUUUUCGUUGAUUAUAGAUGUAAUGUUGAAUUACUUUCAAAUCCUAAGCGGAACCUUCCUCAAACAAAGUAUGAGUGCGUUGGUUUGCAUAUUUCGCUAGUAGUAUAGAGAUCAUUGUCGCAGUUUUGGGACUGAAUAUUUCAAUAGUAAUUAAUUUCAAUAGUAACAAAUUUCCAAGAAAAUAUAAAUAUUAACACCUUGGCUGCGUUUGGAGAUAUUUAUAAACUUUGAUUGCAUUACGAGGCAUAUAUGUCCGGUACCUACUUAGUGAACCUUUGCAGGGCCUACUUUACCACUAGGCCCGUGAGGCACCUGCCUCGGGCCCGUAUCUGAAUGGGGCCCAUUAGAAUGAAAUAUAUAGAAAAGACGUCUGCCAAGGAGGCUUUCUUCAGGACCGGAGCGAAGACAGAAUAUGUAUUGUUUUAUUUUAUUAUUUUUAUUUUACUCUGUAAGUAUAUAAAUAUCCAUAAUAUAUUUAUUUAUUUUUAAA